UACGUAGGUGGCAAGCGUUAUCCGGAUUUACUGGGUUUAAAGGGAGCGUAGGUGGAUUGUUAAGUCAGUUGUGAAAGUUUGCGGCUCAACCGUAAAAUUGCAGUUGAAACUGGCAGUCUUGAGUACAGUAGAGGUGGGCGGAAUUCGUGGUGUAGCGGUGAAAUGCUUAGAUAUCACGAAGAACUCCGAUUGCGAAGGCAGCUCACUGGACUGCAACUGACACUGAGGCUCGAAAGUGUGGGUAUCAAACAGG
rnacentral:rRNA from 1 species